rnacentral:misc_RNA from 1 species
AUUCUAAACAUAACAAAGAUCUUUAAUUUCCUUUAAGAUCUAUAUCAACACAAUGGCUUCUUUCAAGUGCUUGAUCUUUGCUGCAUUCUUCAUUGCUUUAUCAUUUGAUGUUGGCUUAGCUGCUCGUCAUCUUCAGCAAUUGCCAGUGCCAAAUUUUCCAAAGCCUACAUUGCCACCAUUGCCUAGUACUGUACCAACUCUGCCACAGCCCACAUUGCCUACAAACCCAUCUCUGCCUAAGCCUACACUGCCUCCACUUCCAAGCUUGCCUACUGUUCCGACGGUUACUUUGCCUCCAUUGCCGAACAUCCCCACAAUCCCCACUAUCCCAACAAUCCCUUCCAUCCCAUUCCUAUCUCCACCACCUGGUAACUAAAUCAUUGAUAUUUUCGUUGUUCUUCAGUUCACUUUGUGGGAGGCGAUUGGAAACUUGGACUAUAUUUAUAUAUGCAUAGUGGAAGACUGCUACUACUUCCCUUUGUUACUUUCUGCAGAGUCCCUUGUGACUCAUAUAGUCUCUGAUAGCUUGUUCUUCAUUUAUUUUAUGGGUUUGAGCAUUAUAGCUGCUUGUUAUGGUAUAUUUGUUGUAUGAUUGUAAUAAUUUGAGAUUUUCAUGAUUACUACCAGCUAUUAGUAUUGCGUUUUCAUUUAAAUGUCAUUAUGGCGCUAUUACCUUAUUCAUUAUUGUUUUUU